UACGGGGGGGGCUAGCGUUGUUCGGAAUUACUGGGCGUAAAGGGCGCGUAGGCGGCCCGCUAAGUCGAACGUGAAAUCCCCGAGCUCAACUCGGGAACUGCGUCCGAUACUGGCGGGCUUGAAUCCGGGAGAGGGAUGCGGAAUUCCAGGUGUAGCGGUGAAAUGCGUAGAUAUCUGGAGGAACACCGGUGGCGAAGGCGGCAUCCUGGACCGGCAUUGACGCUGAGGCGCGAAAGCUAGGGGAGCAAACGGG
rnacentral:rRNA from 1 species